UACAGAGGGGGCAAGCGUUGUUCGGAAUUACUGGGCGUAAAGGGCGCGUAGGCGGCCUGUUAAGUCGGACGUGAAAUCCCUCGGCUCAACCGGGGAACUGCGUCCGAUACUGGCGGGCUUGAAUUCGGGAGAGGGAUGUGGAAUUCCAGGUGUAGCGGUGAAAUGCGCAGAUAUCAGGAGGAACACCCGUAGCGAAGGCGGCACUCUGGGCCGAUACUGACACUGAGGGAGCGAAAGCGUGGGGAGCGAACAGG
rnacentral:rRNA from 1 species